AGCAGGUGACAGGUCUGGGUUCAAAGCCUGUACCUUGGCCAGCACUUGGGGCUAUUUCUGGGCACAUGGGGUGUGCCACGUGGAAGCCACAGAGAUGGCUUGAUUUUUAUCAGCCAAUGAAAUUGGAAGGUUCUGCCUCUUUGCGAUGAUGUCAUAGUCACCAAGCAGAUCAAAUCUCUCUGAGAAUGACCUCCCUCUGGAUUCUUUAUUGAACAUCUUGUAUAACUUACUACAGGGAGGGACUAAUCUCCUUCAGUUUUCAUUAAAAAGUCCCCAGGCAAGUGUCUUCAUGCAUUUUUUGUUCCUAUAACUGGAUUCCACAGGCUGGGUAAUUUAUGAAGAAUAGAAGUUUAUUUGACUCACAGCCCUGGAGGCUGAAGUCCAAGAGCAUGGAGCCCGCAUCUGCUCAGCACCAGGCCAAGCCUUGCCACGUCACAACAGGGCAGAGGGCAUUGCGCAGGAGCUGGAGCCAGCAUGCUAGCACCAGGUCUCUUCUCUUCUUCUUACAGAGCUCCAAUGCCACCACAGAGGCCCGCCUCAUGAUCUCAUCCAAUCCUAAUUACCUCCGGAAGGCCCCACCUCCAAAUGCCAUUAACAAAUGACUGAGGAAUACGUUUCCAGCAUAAGAACUUUUGGGGGGACCACACCCAGAGGACAGAAGGAAGGCACAAUCCAUCUCUGCUCAGAAAUCGAGGACACAGGCUUCCAAUUCUCUGGACACUAACUGGUUCUCAGAGUUCAACUCAAUCCUGCCACUUUCCACCUGGAGUCAGGGUGGGUCUCACAAGAGACUGAGAGGUGGGGCCGAAUGCUCCAACCUCCCACCAUGCCUUGGCCUUCCUGGUGACCAGUUUCAUCUUGAAGGUGCUCAGAGACACCAGUGCAGUCAUCUUACUACUCUCCAGGAAGCACUCAUCACUCUGGAGAUUCCAAUGAUCUUAGGAGAGCCUGUCAGAAACCAGAGACUAACAGCAAAGGAAAGAUGUUUCUGUCAUCACCUUGACGUGUUUCUUAUGAUGUCACAAUAACACAGAGAGGUCUCUGAUUGGUCUAGCUUGGACCAACUGCAUGUUUCUUGUGAUGGUACAAUAUCACAAAGAGGUCUCUGAUUGGUCUACUUUGGACCAAUGAAAGCUGAGCUUGAGGUAGAAGGCGCCAUGAUUGUCUCAGUUUGGACCAAUCAAAAGUGAGUGGGGAGGAGUCAUAGACUUUGGGCUCUUCAGCCUGGGAUUGGAAUGGAGCAGGGCGGCCCCCAGGAGAGGGGAGUGGGCUGGGAAGACUGGAUGGCAGUAUCAACUAGGCUUUCACUUGGGGCCCAGUUGCUGAAAUUCUCCUCAGGGGUUUAUCUGAUAGAAUUCCCAAGGCAUUUCAGCCUCCAGAGACUCUUAUUAAUACUCAAAGAACGCUGAGAAGGUUCACACCCAAGCGGAAAUUCAUUGCCAAGAACCUGAGAGCAAGCUCCCGUGGGAAAGGCAAGGCGUAAAACCAGAUGCCAAAGGGAUGUCUUCGCAGUUUGGCUCCAGGACCUGCCAAUGAAUGCACAAAACGUCAAGAGACAGCUUGGGGAAAACAUAGGUUUUGGAGUGAAGGGGAGCUGGAAUCAAAUCUCUACCCAGAAACUCUCCGUGUGGCCUUGGGCAAGUCACCUAACCUCUCUGGAAAACUACAAGAACUGAAAGCAGCAGAGCUGUCACCAGGCUUCCAGAUGAGAUCAGUCCCUCUUCCCCAGCUUAGAGGUGCUCCUUCAACAGGCACAAUUGGGUGUUUUCUUUAAGUCAGCCCAGUUCUUAUCCUCUGGUGACCAGAUCAUGAGUCUUGUGAGCAGUCACCAGCCAGAAAACGAGGCCACGCAUUUCUCCGGGGAGGCCGGCAUUCAGCUCUCCCAGCUCCCCUGCAUCUCAGAGCAGCACGGAGAAGUGGGACAGAGACAAGCUUUGAAGUCACACAGGUCUGGGCUCCAAUCCCACUUCUGCUACCAACUAGACGUGAUCAUGGGCACACCACUCCUCCUGUCUGAUCUAUAAAAGACAGGUCUUUCUUCCGGCAGAAACUGCUCAUCAGGAUACAAGGCACUAACACACAGAGCUGCCUCCCAGGCACACCUGCCCAGUCAGUGACCUGAGAAACACGCAUUGUACACCAUGCUGCCCACACAUGGUUUGGCUGGUGUUUCAGGAGCACCUGCCAUGACAUGAUCAUCUUUGCCAUUCAGUGCUGCCUGGGAAGGUGACCUUGGGCAGGACCCUCACCUGGCCAAGCCUCAGCCUCCUCAUACGUGAAGGGAAGAGAACGUCAUGGAGGGAUGGAGCACUUCUAAAACUCGUCUCCUGGGGACGAUGAGUCUCCCCCUGCCUCCUCCUCCUCUUCCUCUGCUCUUGAACUUGGCCAGCAGGUCUCCGGCCAAUCGGAUGAGGCCCACCCAUGGUAUGAAGGGCGAUCUUAAAUGCUGAUCUCAUCCCCAGAUCACCCUCCAACUUGACACAUAAAACCAGCCAGCACCCUCCUGACCGCCCAGUGCUCUGCCCCAGGGAGAAUGCCACAAAAUGUAUAAUAAACUAAAAUUUCUCCACGUCCGGAAGCUUGAUGUCGGGGGAGGAGCCCAUUCCCACCCUGCCACCCCUCUUGUCCCGUCCAGCUCUUUGCCUCCUUCCUCUUGCUUCUGUGCCUGUUUUCUGGGGAGAAUCAGCCUCGUGCUGUUUCCCAAGCAUCCUGUGCACACUGCUGCCUUGAAGGGGAUGACAGCGGUUUGGCCUUCCCAGUGCCUUGCCCCUGCUCCCCUUGUUCCUGCUGUGUGACCUGGGAAUCCUGCCUGCCUUCCACCCACGAGUGACCCUGGCUGGGCCAAUCGGAGCCCUGCCCUGGGAGUUUGGGGGCGAAUGCUAAUGACGAUGAAUACAAAUGAGCCUUUGCUGUGGAGCGGCUGAGUCGCACAGGAUGCUGUUGUCAGCAGCCCAGGUCCAGCCUCGUAAAGCAAAACGAGGUUGAUGGGGCUGGAGAAGCAACAGUAAGCAAAGGAGGGAUGGCAUGCUAGUGGCUGAUUCCACCUGCCCAACCUCAGCCCUGCCUUCCCACCCUUUGUUCCCAAAAGCCGAUUCCAUGCCUCCCUACCCCCUGCACCCCUCUCUCCUCCACUUACCCUAGCACAGUGGUACUCAAGUGGGGGUGAGUUGCCCUCCAGGGGACAUCUUAGCAAAGGCUGGGGUCAUGUUUGCUUUCACAAUCCAGGGCAUCUAGCGGUAGAGACCAAGGAGGGUGUGAGCAUGCCAUAGGACUGCUGCCCCUGACCAAGAGUGAUUGGCUCAAAAUGCCACUAGAGGUUGAGAGGCUUGCCGCAUCCCACCUCCCUGGGGUGCUCCCUGUGCCAUAGCCCUGGGCUGGAUUCCUAGACUGGCAUGGAGCAGUCAUAGCUCAGACUGCCCACCUCCACCAUCCAGAGCCCUGGUGUCCACGAGCCACUAGCCACACGUGGCUGCUGAGGACUUGCAAAGUUCCAGGCCACACCAAGACGUACUGGAGAGAAGACGGACGUAUCACACUAUAGGACUUAGGAAGAAAAAGAAAUAUAAAAUGUUGCAUUUAUCAUUUGUACCUCAA